AGCGUCUACUGGUCGCUGCUCUUCUUGAUCAGGUCCUAUGCGGAGUUGUUCCUGCCGCGCAUGCCAGUGACCGUCUUCGAGAAGCUCUUCGACAUAGGAUUGUGGGGCAUUGGCCUUGGCGUUAUCUCUGUGAUGGUGACCAUCGUCCUGGGCAUCUCGGUCAAGGACAGCCGUGUAUUGGCGGGUUGCACCUUCGUCGUUGCAGUGUUCGUAGUCGGGCUGGCAGCGUUCUGGGUGUGGCUUGCUCGCACGUAUGGCGGACACGACGCGCCAGAGUCUUCUACACCGCCUUCCGCAACAGCAGCUGGACAGCAGCCUCCUCGUGCACCACGUGUGCCAAUCUAA
rnacentral:rRNA from 1 species